rnacentral:rRNA from 1 species
AUUGAACGCUGGCGGCAUGCCUUACACAUGCAAGUCGAGCGAACCCUUCGGGGUGAGCGGCGGACGGGUGAGUAACGCGUGGGUAACCUGCCCUAUACACACGGAUAACGUACCGAAAGGUACGCUAAUACGGGAUAAAGUUGUUGGAUGGCAUCUUCUAACAAUCAAAGCUCCGGCGGUGUAGGAUGGACCCGCGUCUGAUUAGCUAGUUGGUGAGGUAAUGGCUCACCAAGGCGACGAUCAGUAGCCGACCUGAGAGGGUGAUCGGCCACACUGGAACUGAGACACGGUCCAGACUCCUACGGGAGGCAGCAGUGGGGAAUAUUGCACAAUGGGCGAAAGCCUGAUGCAGCAACGCCGCGUGAGCGAUGAAGGUCUUCGGAUCGUAAAGCUCUGUCCUCAAGGAAGAUAAUGACGGUACUUGAGGAGGAAGCCCCGGCUAACUACGUGCCAGCAGCCGCAGUAA